AAGAAAGGAAGUCAGUUUAAAUACUUAAAGUAAAAUCGGAUUUCAACAAUUAGCUCAAGUACGCACUCGUCACCUCACGUACAAGGCAUUUCAAUUAUCAAAUAUCAUACAAAGGGGAAAGUUCCCCACAAGGUUAGACAAGCCACUUACCUCGAAUCAGCUCAAAAUCUACUUGACGUCUUUGCCAUGAGUACUUCAAAAGGUCCAAAUAUUUAAGUUUAAUUUCAUAAUGUAAAUAACACUUCAAAUACCGAUUCUACAAUUAAAGUCUAAGCUAAUACGUGAAAUUAUAUAAAAUGCCAAAAUGCCCCUCAGGCCUAUAUCUCGGAAUCAAGUGAAAUUUAUAUUUUCAGACACCUUGUACUCUCACGAGUCUAUACAUAACAAGGACACUGAAAUCGUAGUCCUAAUGACCCCUAAAAUCCUCAUUUAAAGGCCUCUUAAACUCAAGCCCUAAUUACCCAUUUUUUCAAAAUUUUGCAUCAUUAAUUAAGUCUUUUAUCACAUAAAAAUGAGUUAUGAAGCCAAGGACGUGACCUCCAUGAUUUCCCUUUGUUUUCCUCAAAAAUCUCCCUCAAUAGCUUCAAAUCCGGAUGAAAAUGGUGAAAGAAUGGCUCAAUUUUGCAAAGGCAACUAUUUAUAUGUUAUGCCCAUACAUUUCCGCAUUUGUGGCCUCCGGUCCAG
rnacentral:lncRNA from 1 species